UACGGGGGGGGCAAGCGUUGUUCGGAAUUACUGGGCGUAAAGGGCUCGUAGGCGGCCAACUAAGUCAGACGUGAAAUCCCUCGGCUUAACCGGGGAACUGCGUCUGAUACUGGAUGGCUUGAGUUCGGGAGAGGGAUGCGGAAUUCCAGGUGUAGCGGUGAAAUGCGUAGAGAUGUGGAGGAACACCAAUGGCGAAGGCAGCCUCCUGGGCCAACACUGACACUCAUGCACGAAAGCGUGGGGAGCAAACAGG
rnacentral:rRNA from 1 species